GUUUCUCUGAAAGAAAAUAAUGUUUAUUCAGGAAUAGGGUAUUGCUGUAGGCAUAUAUGUGCCAUAGGAAACGAUGUGCAUAUUCAGGAAGGUAAAGGCAGACAAAGGGUUUUAAAGGAAAAUUGGGGAAGAUUACGUAAUUGUUUUGAAAUGAUUAUCCUUGGCUAUAGCGAUCAGUAACAAGAGUCCAAGGUUGGACUGGACAGGUGUCCCUGCAGAAGUAUUAAUAUUUCCUGCAUAAGGUCGCAAUGGCCUUUAUGCAAGGUUGUGGCUUUUGUAGUUCUUUGUGAUUGUUUUGCUAUCAGGCAUACAAGUGUGAGAGUUCUCUGUUCAUAGCUUUCCUUGGCUCUAUUUGUCAGCAUUUUUUAAACAUGACUACAUUUUGAUUCUGACCACUAUUACACUAAUUUUAUAUUAGAAUGAACAAUAGAAGUUUCAAGGUGAUUAUAAGAAUAAAGAGAAUAAAGAGCAGAGUAACAUCAGCAUUGAUAGUGAAUGUACCCUAGAAAGACAUGCUCAUAGGAUACAGUUGACCCUUGAGCAACAUGGAUUUGAAAUGUACGAGUCCACUUAAAGAAACUUACAGUCAGUUUCUUUAAAAAAAAAAAAAAAAUAGAGACAGGGUCUCACUGUAUUCCCCAAGCUGGACUUGAACUCCUGGGCUCAAGCAAUCUUCCCACCUUAGCCUCCUAAGUAGGUGGGACUACUACCUACUUGGAGGACCAUUUUUUGGAGAAGCUGCCACUGCAGCUAUACCAUCAGGUGUGAAAACCUU
rnacentral:lncRNA from 1 species